rnacentral:lncRNA from 1 species
AUUCCUAAAAUCAAGCUCCAAAUUUCUUUUUUGUUGUUAAAAAGUCGUUCUUUUAUUUAUUGCAAUAAAUAAUACUAGUUAACUAUUGUUUGAAAAAUCCUAAAAAAGCUGCAAAAUUAAGAACAUUUUUUUAAAAAAUUGGGUUCGGGCUUACCUUGUCUGCUUCAAUCUCAAAAUCGAGCCCCAAAUAUCUCCAUUUCAAUGAAAUCAGGAGUCUUGAAAUGUAUGUAUCUCUAUGAUCAUUAUAAUCCCCAACUUUUUAUCGAAAAAAAUUGAAAAACCAGGCCUAAAUCAAAUGAAUGGCGGAUUUUUUAUAAAAAAUUGAAGAACACCAAAAAACUCACCAAAAAUUCACCAAAAUCGAUCUAAUCUUGGAGUUUUUUAUUCAAUAUUGAUGGAUUUAUAGAAGAUUUGAAGGUAUAGUACAAUAAUUGAGCCUAAAAAACAAAAAAAGGCAGGGAAAAGCAUAAAAAGCUGCAAAAAAUGGCAGAUCACGG